AUACGCGGUGACCGGUCGCGGCCGCAAGGCUGAGGAAAGUCCGGACUCCAUAGGGCGGGAGACCUGCUUGUCAAGGGCAGGAGACGACGGGAAAUCCGACGUGACGGAAAGUGCCGCAGAAAACAGGUAACCUCGAUAAGGGGUGAUAGUGAAAAGGCGGGGUAAGAGCCCACCGGCACGUAUGAAGCUACGUGCGCAUGGUAAACCCUCUCCGGAGCAAGAUCAAAUAGGGAAUCGACGGGCUGCCCGUCCGGUGGCCGCGCCAAAAGCGCGGCCUUUAGAUUUCGGGUUGAUCGCUUAGAUGAAUGACCGGACUCUUCGGUUCGCCGAAGAGGAACAGAAUCUGGCUUAUUCGCCGCGUAUCACU
rnacentral:RNase_P_RNA from 1 species